rnacentral:rRNA from 1 species
UGGGGAAUAUUGGACAAUGGGGGAAACCCUGAUCCAGCAAUACCAUGUGUGUGAAGAAGGCCUUAGGGUUGUAAAGCACUUUUAUCAGUGAGGAAGGUUCGUGAAGAGCGAGCUUGACGUUAGCUGAAGAAAAAGCACCGGCAAACUCUGUGCCAGCAGCCGCGGUAAUACAGAGGGUGCAAGCGUUAAUCGGAAUUACUGGGCGUAAAGGGCUUGUAGGUGGUUAGAUAAGUUGGACGUGAAAACCCUGGGCUCAACCUAGGAAUGGCGACCAAUACUGUUUAGCUAGAGUAUAGUAGAGGGUAUAGGAAUUUCCGGUGUAGCGGUGAAAUGCGUAGAUAUCGGAAGGAACAUCAGUGGCGAAGGCGUAUACCUGGACUAAGAACUGACACUGAGGAGC